GACGAACGCUGGCGGCGUGCUUAACACAUGCAAGUCGAACGAAGAGCGAUGGAAGCUUGCUUCUAUCAAUCUUAGUGGCGAACGGGUGAGUAACGCGUAAUCAACCUGCCCUUCAGAGGGGGACAACAGUUGGAAACGACUGCUAAUACCGCAUACGAUCUAAUCUCGGCAUCGAGGAUAGAUGAAAGGUGGCCUCUACAUGUAAGCUAUCACUGAAGGAGGGGAUUGCGUCUGAUUAGCUAGUUGGAGGGGUAACGGCCCACCAAGGCGAUGAUCAGUAGCCGGUCUGAGAGGAUGAACGGCCACAUUGGGACUGAGACACGGCCCAGACUCCUACGGGAGGCAGCAGUGGGGAAUCUUCCGCAAUGGACGAAAGUCUGACGGAGCAACGCCGCGUAAGUGAUGACGGCCUUCGGGUUGUAAAGCUCUGUUAAUCGGGACGAAAGGCCUUCUUGCGAAUAGUGAGAAGGAUUGACGGUACCGGAAGAGAAAGCCACGGCUAACUACGUG
rnacentral:rRNA from 1 species